AUGUACACCGGGCAGGGGAGAUGCCAUGAUGACAAAGGUAGAUUUUCCAGGUUGAGACUCAUCCAUUGCUCUCAGGAUGAGCUGACCCCUGUGAUUUCUCCCUAAUUCUGGGAACUUGGCUGCAUAAUUUGUGGUGGUGGGAGACUUCACAUUCUCCUC